UUAAGUUCAGCGGGUAUCCCUACCUGAUCCGAGGUCAAACACUUGUAUGAUAGUUGCUUUGUGGCAGGCUUCCACCGUAGGCAUUCGCGAAAAUUAUUUCACUACGCUUGUACCUAAGGCUACUGACCGCCUCUGCUUUUCGGGCAUGCCCUAGCUGGCAACCGCCCAACACCAAGCCGGAGCUUGAAGGUUUAAAUGAC
rnacentral:misc_RNA from 1 species